CGAGCGCACCCUUCGGGGCGAGCGGCGGACGGGUUAGUAACGCGUGGGAACAUACCCUUUUCUAUGGAAUAGCCUUUGGAAACGAAGAGUAAUACCAUAUACGCCCUUCGGGGGAAAGAUUUAUCGGAGAAGGAUUGGCCCGCGUAAGAUUAGAUAGUUGGUGGGGUAAUGGCCUACCAAGUCUACGAUCUUUAGCUGGUUUUAGAGGAUGAUCAGCAACACUGGGACUGAGACACGGCCCAGACUCCUACGGGAGGCAGCAGUGGGGAAUCUUAGACAAUGGGCGCAAGCCUGAUCUAGCCAUGCCGCGUGUGUGAUGAAGGCCUUAGGGUCGUAAAGCACUUUCGCCAGAGAUGAUAAUGACAGUAUCUGGUAAAGAAACCCCGGCUAACUCCGUGCCAGCAGCCGCGGUAAUACGGAGGGGGUUAGCGUUGUUCGGAAUUACUGGGCGUAAAGCGUACGUAGGCGGAUCAGAAAGUAGGGGGUGAAAUCCCGAGGCUCAACCUCGGAACUGCCUCCUAAACUCCUGGUCUUGAGUUCGAGAGAGGUGAGUGGAAUUCCAAGUGUAGAGGUGAAAUUCGUAGAUAUUUGGAGGAACACCAGUGGCGAAGGCGGCU
rnacentral:rRNA from 1 species